GGGUCAAACGCACAGGAAAAAAGUCACACAAACAAAAAAUUUGGGAGAGGCAGUUGCCCGCAUAUAUAAUAUGCAAAGUGGUCGGUAUAUGGGCAGAUAAUUAGCACAAGCAAUUUUAACUCAAUUGCUGUUUUUUUAAAUCACACACUAAUUCGCGCAAGACACACUCUUCGCGCGCACACACACUCUCGAAAAAACCGCUCGACUUGUACUUAUUAUUGGCGGGGGCGGACACGAAAAAAUAUAAUUAUAUAAUUAUUCGCCAGAGCUGCACACGUACUGCUGGCUGCCGGGGCUCAAGAACGACUCAUCAGAGCGAUGCCUCGAGCGAUG
rnacentral:lncRNA from 1 species